GUUGCUGCUGAAAGAUCCAGCAUGUCCUUGAAAAUUAUAUGCUAGCUCUGAAUAAGGCAAUGCUGCAAGCUGGGUCUGUACAGUGGCUAAGUGAGCUGCAAAUGAGAGGGUUGGCGAUCCAGCCAGUGAUUGUUAUUUACUCGUAUUAUCGUCAGAUCCAAAGGAAUUAACUUGGAUAAGUACCCGCAUCGUGCUAGGUGCAAACGCAGAGAAGAACCAAAUAAUUUGAAAACUGUUGGGGUGCUUGUGCCUACCUGAUUUUGUGCCUUGGAAAAUUUUCCUCUGCCUUGGUGGGAACGUACCCUGCCUAGCCCUUGCUUUGCUUCAGGUUCUUCCCAUCGCCAGUGGAACAGGGAGCCUGAACAGUGGAGUGGAAAAGCCCUCUUCUGCUCGUUUUUUUUUCUCUACUUUUUUAGAAGGAGGUAAAGAUACAAAAUGAGCUAACACACAGGUUAAGGGUCACCCUUACUGCCUUUCAUACUGGCAUCUCCCGUGGUGGUUGGGAUCUUGCGGCGACUUGAGAACUUGGCAUCACGAGGUCAUGCUGCCCUUAGUGCACAUCACGAGGUCGGUGCCAUCAGCGCGCACUCAGCUUCCUCCCAGCCUGCAACAUCUCCUCCUCCCCCUGGGACGGCACGGGUUGUCUGGUGAUGGCCUGCAGUCCUCUGCCUCGCCAAGCUGCCCUUGGAACGGUCGCUUUCUUGGUUCCCCUUCCAGCUUUUCAACUCCUUCCUCUAAGUUAGAAAUCUUUUUCAGGAGAGGCUGGAGUGAGUGAAUCGCGUGGUGCCCUUUUACCACCGGGAUCUCUGCUGGUUAGGCCUUUGGGCUGUGGUUCUAGUUUAGAUCUUGCCAGCUGAUCAGGGGAAUCCUUUGAUUUUACUUUGAGUUUUUCUUGAAUUUCUGAUUGUAUGUGCUGGACAAGCAAGUGUGGCAGUUUUCCCUCUGGACGACAUGGAUGUUCUCUGUCCUCUUCCCCAUGGGUUUGACCCAAUGUGGCUGAGACAGACCCUGCUCCCAUGCUUGUUCUGUGGAGACAGAGCGAGCUGGCCCAUCAUCUCCACGGUGGGAGAAAGAGUAUGUUGACUUCUUGCCGUGGUUUCUGCGUGUCCGAAAAUGUGAGGUCAUAGGUGUAUGAAGAUGUGCCAAGACCAUGGGGUGUAUGUGCAUGUUUGUCCACUGUGAGGUCUUCUCCUUUUCUGAAACAUUUCCACCAUUCGUUUUCUGGUGACUGAAGGGCUUUAUCCUUUUCUGUGUGUACGCUGCUGAGUUCACGUAUGCUCAUGGUGACAGCUUGGAUGAAUUCAGGCUUCUGUUCUGGAAUAAACUGGUCCAGUGUGACUUGGAGUCUGAAACUUGUUUUGUUAUUUUGGCUGAAUGCUGGAGGUGACCACUUUAGAAGCGUGUUUUACGAGUGGAAAGUAACGCACACCGUGGUUUCAUGCUCAGAGGCUGUGUUCCCUCCUAUUGCUACAUCUGGAGCAGAAUGUCUGCAAGAUCACAUGUUCGUGAGUAACAUUAGGAAAAAUGCAGAGCUCAGUUGCAGCAGCGAAUCCACAGCGUGGUUGCGCUGGGCUUCCAGAAUCGGCCAAGAGCAGAAUUUGUCUCUGAGGACUUGAAAAAUUUUGUGUUUGUGGUAUAGAGAGAGAACCUUAAUCUAUAAAAUAUCUGCUGGAGGAAAAAAAAGUUAUGCCCAUUAAAAACAGGAAGUAAUUUUAUUCAUCUGUAAAUGACUUGCUAAUGCACCAGCUACUCCACCUUACACUGAGUAGUGACAGAAUUCAUGUAUGGGAAAUACUCCUUUGGAAAAACUCAUUUGCACAAAAUACGCAUGCGAUUCUGCUGUGCCUAAGGAAUGUGACCAUAACGAUUACAUUCAAAAGGGGCAGUCCCCUCUGCAGGAUUAAUCACUUAUUUCUAAAAAUACAUGCCGAAAUGUGUUCUGCUCCAAAGAAGUGUGAACAGUUACUAUGUAGUCUUUGUGUCAAAAAGGAUUUACUUAUUUUUACAGCAAUGCGUUGUGCUGUUGCUUGGUGCUCAACCAAAGCUUUUAAUUGAGGUAAAUCUGCACAUUUGCGUAAGUACGACCUUUUUCUUUUCUCAAAUCGAUAGCUUCUGUAGAUACUAUUAUUCAGAAUAUAAUAUACUGCAGAGAAACUUGUUCAAACAUGUGAAUUGCAGCACAAAACACUACACAAACUGCAUAUAGAAUGUUAGUGGUGUGUGCAUAUAGCAUGCAUCCAUGAGUACAAUGUAUUUGUACAAAGUUUUCUGUCUUUUCUAAAAAAAGUAAUUUCAUAGCCCUUACCAAGUGAUUAAACUUUCGGACUUAAACAGUUUGACUACAUGUAAAAGCUCUUUAUUUUAAACAGUCUUGCCUGGUGCUUUUGGAGUGAUAAUCUGGGUAUCCUCCAGCUUUUAUGUAUUAUUUAUCUUUGAAACUUUGAAAGAACCCCCCAUUUUGUAUGGGUGAAGGACUCUUUGCAGUGCUGCCAGCUUAGUAACAAUGAGCUCGGCUGUAGACACCCCCUGUCCUCUUCAGCCUGAACAAGUGAACAAUCCAACAAUACUCUGUGAUCUGUUAUAUCAUGAGUGCAGGCCUGGGAGGCAGCCUUUGCUGAAAGCAGUGAUCUUGAAGUGUGGAAAUGAUCCAUGAAACGCCACUGAUCCUGCUCUGUUUCUCCAGGAUGUUUCCACAACAUUGUCAGCAGUGAUUCUGGCCUAAAAUGAGUAAAAUACAUCACAGAAGCAAUCGUAUUUCCUUUAACAUAGGUACUGUUUGUGCCUUGCAUGUUCAUGGUAUUUGAUAUUCCUCCAGAUCCGCGUGUGCCUCGUUAGCAGUGUCUUCAAAUGUUUUUCCCUUGCUCCAGCCAAAACAUCAACAAAACAUAAAACUUCUAGCAGUACCACAAACCCUCUACCCUUUCAGUUUGUGUGAUAUAUAACUGGAAAGAAACAGCAGCCAAAUUGCAGUUCUCUGCCAUCUGUUUUAGUUGAUAAACGAAGAAACUUUGAGCUCAGUUCAGCCCUUACUUUAGGUCCUGGCAUUGUGCCCAUUUAAGCCAGAGCAGUAUCUUCACCCCGGUUCCUGUGUCACUUUCCACUUUGAGAGAGAAGGUAUAUUUUUUGUUUGAGCAUUGGCCAUGGGAGCAAUUGCUUUGCUAUAUGCUUUCUUUGGUUUUUAUUUUAGCCUCGGUACCUAUGGAAAUGGUGGCUCACACAGUGCUGCGCUGGGUCUCGCACUCCCCUCUUAGUAAUUUCUAAACUUUUUGAUUGACUUCAGUUGUGUGUGGUGGAGAAUGCGAGAACCGAAGUCUGAGUGAGCUGAGUUUCUGUAACUUUAGUGAAAAUCCUCCAUGUGCUGUUGGGUGCCUCCUGCCCAUUGUACUGUUACUGCCUAAUGCUCCGCUGUACCCGUGGAGCUCUGAGUUGUCUACACCUCCUCGUGUUGCUCUUUCCAGUCAGCAUGUCAGAAGAGGCAUGGAGACAGCCAGAGUAUGGCCAUAUUGGAAGAAGACAGUAGACAUGUGGCUUCAUAGCUUCCUCAGGGAAUGGCUAUGUUAUGACCACAAGAAAGGCCAGUCCUGGACUACUGUGAAUACCAGAAUAUCAAAAUCUGUUUGUUGAAUUAUUCUGCUUUCUAGCUAGUACUGAAACACACACUGUCUACUACAUACCCACAUUUCUCUUGCCUCAUGCAUUCCUUGCACAGCUUUGUCCCAAGGAAAAAAAGGCCUCCAAAGACUGUGGACUCAGCACUUAGUUUGCCAUGUUUGGGGGUAAUUAUGAAAGAGGAUGGUAAAUUGGAAGGAAUCAUGUGUGAGCAAUUAGCUGAGAAAUGAACUAUCAAACAGGAAUGAGAUUCUUGUUGGGGUUUUUUUGCGCCCCCGCCCCUCCAGCAAAGACCUACCUAGAAAAUGUUCUUGCCAUUUGGAGAGUCAGCUGAAUGGUUUGUUUACUCCUUUUCAUGAAAUUUGAUACCAGAAAUUGGUAGAAAAAUGCUGUUAGUUCAGGUGUUAAUGAAAAAUAGGUGCAGGUGAUAAGCUGUGUGGUUGUGUGUGCAGGGAACAGUGGCUGCAAAACAUGGGGUGAGCGCACUCUCCUUCUCAGAAGCUUGUUCUAGUUGAAUGACAUUAUCUGAACAUCUGAGAAGCUGUUAAGGAAGAAGUCUGCCAGAAUUUUCUUGUUCCUACAGGAAAAAUAACAGUAUUACCCCCUCCUAAGACAGAGUUAAAGAAAUGCCUCAAAUGUUAGGACAGUGAAUUGGCUUACAGUGUUAACUGUGUUUCUAUUUAAAGGCAGCCCAAACUCUGACAUACAACUUAAAUAGUUAGACAGAAAUAGGUGGUUGGUUUUUUUUCAGUACUUAAACAUAUUUCAGCUGCUGUGAGUUACUGGAAAUUACUCCACUUUCUUAGUAGAAGAGGAAAUUGUUCUACUGUCAGCAUGGAGGGCUAAGAAGCUGUGAAAAUGAGCAUACUGGUUUCUUAACUACGUGUGUUUUCUAGUCAUACAAGAGAUGCUAAUCAUGAACUCAUGACUUCUUUUUUUCCAAAACAGGCAUAAUUAAAAGUAUAGAAUUAAAAA